rnacentral:rRNA from 1 species
UACGACCGGAGAAGGCAUCUUCUCUGGUGGAAAGUUUUUCGUAUCGGGGAGUGGGCUCGCGGCCUAUCAGCUUGUUGGUGGGGUAAGUGGCCACCCAAGGCGACGACGGGUAGCCGGCCUGAGAGGGCGACCGGCCACACUGGGACUGAGACACGGCCCAGACUCCUACGGGAGGCAGCAGUGGGGAAGUAUUGCACAAUGGGGGAAACCCGUGAUGCAGCGACGCAGCGUGCGGGAUGACGGCCUUCGGGUUGUAAACCGCUUUCAGCAGGGAAGAAGCGGUAAGGUGACGGUACCUGCAGAAGAAGUACCGGCUAACUACGUGC